rnacentral:rRNA from 1 species
AUACGGAGGAUCCAAGCGUUAUCCGGAAUCAUUGGGUUUAAAGGGUCCGUAGGCGGGUUUGUAAGUCAGUGGUGAAAGUUUUCGGCUCAACCGGAAAAUUGCCAUUGAUACUGCAAGUCUUGAAUCAUGAUGAAGUGGUUAGAAUGUGUAGUGUAGCGGUGAAAUGCAUAGAUAUUACACAGAAUACCGAUUGCGAAGGCAGAUCACUAAUAAUGUAUUGACGCUAAGGGACGAAAGCGUGGGUAGCGAACAGGAUUAGAAACCCUAGUAGUCC